rnacentral:lncRNA from 1 species
CAAAUCAUUAUCAUACAAUGAAUCUUAACUUAACCUUAUACAUGACAUAACCUAAAUGUUUGCAGAAAUUAAAUUAAUGCAUCAUACCAAUUUCAAGUACUGCAUUGUAAGAUUGAAAUCUAUAUUAAUUUCAGGGCCCACAAGAAAACCUGCAGCGUUGUUGAGAGGCAUCGGGCAGCUGAAGCGACAUUUUCACAUGCUACACAGUGAGAUCCGAGUUGGUCCUCCAUCCAAGGUCUGCCAAAUUGUAGAGGUUUGUGCACUGCUGCACAACAUCUGCAAAGCAAGAAACAUCAUUCUUCCUGAGGAAGAAGAACAUCUUGCUGCAGCCGAGGAUGGAGGCAACGAGGAGCGACUCCUAGCACAGAAAGUUCAAAGUCGCCAUGAAGUAAUCCUUUACAGGGAUGAAUUUGUUGUGCUUCACUUCAACAUUGAUGAGUGAUGAGACACCAGUGUCAUGACUGCUGAGAUUGGUGUUAUUCUCAUGUGGAUGAUCUCCUCCUCAUCCACAAACACCAGUGAUGUACCAGGCAAGUCUGGCCCUUUUGGUGCUGGAAGUGGUGUGGCAGGUGCCUCCUCCUCAACACCCACUGCCUCGGUCACCACUUCUCUCUGUUGGGCUGCCUCUGCCACUUCCCCAGCAUCAUCUGCUGCCUGCACACUGCUGGCAUCAUUAGUUCUAACUUCAGAAACUAAGCUGAUAAUGUUUUUGGUUUUAUUGCUAAGGACAAAAGUAACAGAAACCAGUAAAUCUAGCUAAGGGUA